UUACCUGAACUGUCACUACAACCACCAGGCUCCACCCACUAGCUAGGCCACCCAUAACCCAGCAGCUUGUAUGAGCCGGGUCGGGGUCUUCUUGGAGUCAGGUUGCUUGGGAAUGCAGCCCAAAGCUGCUGGUAAACUCCAUCUAAGGCUAAAUACUGGCACGAGACCGAUAGUCAACAAGUACCGUAAGGGAAAGUUGAAAAGAACUUUUGAAGAGAGAAUUCAAGAGGGCAUGAAACCGUUAAGAGGUAAACGGGUGGGGUCCGCGCAGUCUGCCCGGACGAGUUCCAGGAGGACAGAACUGACAUUGAAAACCAAGUAAUAACUGAGCAUAGUGUAGCAGUUAGGAACAAUCAGGAUUAAUCAUAGUGGUGGUGUGCAGUACUGUAUAAGAGAUUAGGAAAGCCAUCGGAGUGUUAACACAGAGUAAAGCUGAACACAUCAAUACAGCAGUCAGACACAAUCAUGAUGACUCAGGAUGGCAUGGCUGCACUGAGCAUUCAUCAAGAAUACCAGCAAUAAAACAGAUCUGGGAACAUAAAAAUUCAGUCUCUGGGACUGAUAGCUCAUUGUUUUCUUAAUCUGUAUAUACCUAAUAACUUCACCAGCAACUUCUGAUUUUAGAAGU
rnacentral:ncRNA from 1 species